GGGCGAGUGGCGGAAUUGGUAUACGCGCAUGGUUUAGGACCAUGUCCGAGAGGUUGAGGGUUCGAGCCCCUCCUCGCCCACAA
rnacentral:tRNA from 1 species